CAGGCUGGUCGGGUGAUCGCGGUUCCGCUAUGGGCGGGAUCGAGGAAAGUCCGCACUCCAUAGAGCAAGAUGCCGGGUAAUUCCCGGGGCGGAGUAAUCUGCCGGACGGGCCACAGAAACAAACCGCCUCACGGCUGAACUUCAGCCAUGAGGCAAGGGUGAAAAGGUAGGGUAAGAGCCUACCGGCGCUGGCAGUAAUGCCGCGGCCAGGCAACCGCCAUCUGGAGCAAGGCCAAGCAGAGACGAGAAGCUGCUCGCUUCGUUUGAGUCUCGGGUAGGCUGCAUGAGCGGGUUGGUAACAACCCGCCUAGAGAGAUGAUCGCCCAGGCAGGCGUAAGCCUGUCGGACAGAAUGCGGCUUAUAGACCGGCCUGAGGA
rnacentral:RNase_P_RNA from 1 species